rnacentral:rRNA from 1 species
UACACACCGCCCGUCACACCAUGGGAGUGGGUUUCACCAGAAGUAGUAGCCUAACCGCAAGGAGGGCGACUACCACGGUGAGAUCAUGACUGGGGUG